AUUGAACGCUGGCGGCAGGCCUAACACAUGCAAGUCGAGCGGAUGAAGGGAGCUUGCUCCUGGAUUCAGCGGCGGACGGGUGAGUAAUGCCUAGGAAACUGCCUGGUAGUGGGGGAUAACGCCCGCAAACGGGCGCUUAUACCGCCUUAGUCUUGUGGGAGAAAGUGAGUGAUCUUCGGACGUCACGCUACCAUAUGAGACUAGGUCGGAGUAGCUAGUUGGUGGGGUAAAGGCCUUGCAAGGCGACGAUCCGUAACUGGUCUGAGCGGAUGAUCAGUCACACUGGAACUGAGGCACGGUCCAGACUCCUACGGGAGGCAGCAGUGGGGAAUAUUGGACAAGGGGCGAAAGCCUGAUCCAGCCAAGCCGCGUGUAUGAAGAAGGUCUUCGGAUUGUAAAGCGCUUUAGGUUGGGAGGAAGGGCAGUAAGUUAAUACCUUGCUGUUUUGACGUUACCAACAGAAUAAGCACCGGCUAACUUCGUG
rnacentral:rRNA from 1 species